rnacentral:misc_RNA from 1 species
ACAUUUCUUUUUUUUUUUUCUCCAACCAUAUGAAUUUAAUGCUUUUUCAUUUUGCAAAAAGGGAAUGCUCCAGCUGACAAGACAAAUGAAGUGCUUUACAAAACACUAGUCCAGAAUUUAUGCCUUGAUCUGAAUAGUCAAAAACAAGAAAAAGAAAGAAAAAAACAAUUAACAGGUACAACAAGAAAUCCAAAUCUUGAAUUCUAAAGAAUAAAAAUGGAGAUUUUCAUAAACACCCACAAUGACCAAUA